GAUGAAGAACGCAGCGAAAUGCGAUAAGUAGUGUGAAUUGCAGAAUUCAGUGAAUCAUCGAAUCUUUGAACGCACAUUGCGCCCGCCAGUACUCUGGCGGGCAUGCCUGUCCGAGCGUCAUUUCAACCCUCAGGGCCCUCCAGCAGGGCGCUGGUGUUGGGGAUCGGCAGUCCCAGCGGCUGCCGUCCCCGAAAUGUAGUGGCGGUCCCACCGUGACCUCCCCUGUGCAGUACAUCGCUCGCAGAGGGACAGCGGUGCGGCCACGCCGUAAAACGCCCAACUCUUCAAGGUUGACCUCGGAUCAGGUAGGACUACCCGCUGAACUUAAGCAUAUCAAUAAGCGGAGGA
rnacentral:misc_RNA from 1 species